GCCCAGUGAUGAUGGAAAAUUGACUUUCGUUCUCCUGAAUGUAAUGAAGCAAGAUGUAAUUAAUCUGAGGU